CGUAGGUGGCAAGCGUUGUCCGGAUUUAUUGGGUUUAAAGGGUGCGUAGGCGGCUUUGUAAGUCAGUGGUGAAAUACUCCAGCUCAACUGGAGAGGUGCCAUUGAUACUGCAGAGCUAGAGUACUGAUGAGGUAGGCGGAAUGGACGGUGUAGCGGUGAAUGCUUAGAUAUCGUCCAGAACACCGAUAGCGAAGGCAGCUUACUAAAGAGUAACUGACGCUGAGGCACGAAAGUGUGGGGAUCAAACAGGAUUAGAUACCCUGGUAGUCCACACUGUAAACGUUGAUCACUAGAUGUUGGCGAUACACUGCCAGCGUUCCAGCAAAAGCGAUAAGUGAUCCACCUGGGGAGUACGCCCGCAAGGGUG
rnacentral:rRNA from 1 species